UACGAAGGGGGCUAGCGUUGCUCGGAAUCACUGGGCGUAAAGCGCACGUAGGCGGAUCUUUAAGUCAGGGGUGAAAUCCCAAGGCUCAACCUUGGAACUGCCUUUGAUACUGGGGAUCUCGAGUCCGGAAGAGGUUGGUGGAACUGCGAGUGUAGAGGUGAAAUUCGUAGAUAUUCGCAAGAACACCAGUGGCGAAGGCGGCCAACUGGUCCAGUACUGACGCUGAGGUGCGAAAGCGUGGGGAGCAAACAGG
rnacentral:rRNA from 1 species